GGGGGACCUUCUGGCCUCUUGCCCUCUCAUGUGCCCAGAUGGGAUUAGCUAUUAGGUGGGGUAACGGCUCUCCUAUGCGACAAUCCCUAUCUGGUCUGAGAGGAUGACCACCCACACUGGAACUGAGACACGGUCCCCACUCCUACGGGAGGCAGCAGUGGGGAAUAUUGCACAAUGGGCGCAAGCCUGAUGCACCCAUGCCGCGUGUAUGAAAAAAGCCUUCGGGUUGUAAAGUACUUUCACCGGGGAGGAAAGGGUUGUGGUUUAUAACCACACCAAUUGACGUUACCCCCACAAAAAACACCGGCUAACUCCGUGCCACCACCCGCGGUAAUACGGAGGGUGCAAGCGUUAAUCUCAAUUACUGGGCGUAAAGCGCACGC
rnacentral:rRNA from 1 species